rnacentral:tRNA from 1 species
GCGGGGGUGGCGGAACGGUAUGCGCUCAUGCCUUGGAAGCAUGUGGGCGCAAGCCCGUGCCGGUUCGAAUCCGGUCCCCCGCA